AACUGUGUCUGAUCCAAAAGCCUGUGUAAAAUGCAAGAAUUAAUUUACACAAAGGUGAUCCAAAUGUUUAUAUUGAACUGCAGAAUUAACAAUUUUCUAAUAGCAAAGCCAGCAUACUCCAGUUAUCUGCACUCCACACCACUUAAGCGAGUGCAUUUCAAUAGCAAGCAAGGACAAACAAAGAGAAGUAAAUCAAGAGUUUUGCCUGCUGAGCACCAGAUAGUGUACAGGUGUAUAUUGACUAUGAAGACCAUUUUUCCCUGAACCCAAGUCUUAGGAAAAUGCAAGGUAACUAAACAAUCAAAUUUCUGGUCCCAGGGUCUCGGCAGUUGGCACAAAUGGUAAAGAAAUGAGGUUGGUUUGCUUUGAAGUUGGUCAGAUCUUACAUUACUAAUAUUAACCAAGAAAAAAUAAAGAAAAUCAAACUUAUCCAAUUUCACCACUCAAUUUUUGAAAUGAUACUUCUCAUAGGAACACAUUCUAUUUUUCAUACAUCAACAUGG
rnacentral:misc_RNA from 1 species